rnacentral:rRNA from 1 species
UAGGGAAUCUUCCACAAUGGACGAAAGUCUGAUGGAGCAACGCCGCGUGAGUGAGGAAGGGUUUCGGCUCGUAAAACUCUGUUAUUAAAGAAGAACAUAUCUGAGAGUAACUGUUCAGGUAUUGACGGUAUUUAACCAGAAAGCCACGGCUAACUACGUGCUAG